AUUUUUGACAGAGAAUGCUGGAGGAUUCCAUCACCCCCACCAGAAGGAAACGUAGGAAGCCAAUUAUCCGACGUCUGACUGAGCAAGAGGCUCAUGCUCUUAUUGCUGCUCCUGAGACAAUGCCAGAUGAUGUCUGGGAAGACCUGCCAAUUAUUCGUCGAGCUUCGUCUGUGGAUGAGAGCCUCUUCCGUUCUGUGAUGAUUGAUGGACCUUUAUCUACCACACUUGAAUAAAGAACAUGGUAACGGGAACCCUUAUAUGUGAUGGUGCUUAUGUUUUGAGAUGUACCUUUUUUAUUUUUUUAUUUUUUUAUUUUUAGCAAGGUUUUUUCUUCUUCUAAAAUGUGAAGUAUCAUUAUUUCAUUUUUUAAAGGAUAGCUUGUAUUACUUAGCUGAAAAUAUUAUUUUCAGUAAGUUGGCAAAUGUAACUGCAUGAGUGCAAACUUGUUUUUUGUUCAAGGUCUUCUCGAAAAUAUUAUUGAUUAUAAACUUGUUUAUUUACCUCUAGAGAUUUUAUGUAUUAUUGAUUUGAAAGGUCUACACUAUCUAAAUUUACUAGGAUCACAAUAUCUUUUAUACAGAACUUUAUUUAUGUUUUAUGGAUAAAUAAUCAAAACUUGGUCAGGCUUUCAAAGUAAAAUGUACCCAAGUUCAAAGUAAGGAAAUGAACUGUAAUUAAUUUAUUUUCUUAUUGAAAGAGUUCAUAAUUCAGAUUAUAUAUUUUAACCUUCCGUAUUUCUUUUUCACUGAAAAUGGAUAUUGCUUUCCUAUAAAUAAAGAUAUUUAUUUUAACCACAAAGUUUGUGAUAUUUUUUGCAUUGAGGGAAUUACUCAGCUUUUGUGUUUAUAUUUUCCCAAUGGUAUAUGGAAUUCAAAGAAUUAUGGUUUUUCUUUUCCAAGUAAAUUAUUUUGCUGAAGUACCAGCAUUUCAUUUCACUGAUCAGUAUGAAAUAUUCCUCUUCCUGCUCUGUUAAUUACCAGUGAGUGCCAGUGUUGAA